rnacentral:rRNA from 1 species
UUCCGGUUGAUCCUGCCGGAGGCUACCGCUAUUGGAGUUCGAUUAAGCCAUGCGAGUCCAGAGCUUUCGGAGCUCGGCGUACCGCUCAGUAACACGUGGGUAACCUAACCUAUGCAGGGGAAUAACCUCGGGAAACUGAGAAUAAUACCCCAUAGUCCACUACGCCUGGAACGGUGAGUGGAUGAAAGCUCAGGCGGCAUAGGAUGGGCCUGCGGCGUAUCAGGUUGUAGGGGGUGUAAAGUACCCUCUAGCCCUCUACGCGUACGGGUGUUGGGAGACAUAGCCCGGAGAUGGAUUCUGAGACACGAAUCCAGACCCUACGGGGUGCAGCAGGCGCGAAAACUUGGCAAUGCGAGCAAUCGUGACCAGGGAACUCCAAGUGGCUGGGGUAAGACCCAGUCUUUUCAGAACUCUUCAAAGGUUUUAGAAUAAGGGGUGGGCAAGGACGGUGCCAGCCGCCGCGGUAAUACCGGCGCCUCAAGUGGUAGUCGCUUUUAUUGGGCCUAAAACGUCCGUAGCCGGUUUGGUACAUUCGUGGGUAAAUCAACUCGCUCAACGAGUUGAAUUCUGCGAGGACGGCCAGACUUGGGACCGGGAGAGGUGUGGGGUACUCUCAGGGUAGGGGUAAAAUCCUGUCAUCCUGAGAGGACCACCUGUUGCGAAGGCGCCACACUAGAACGGAUCCGACGGUCAGGGACGAAGCCUAGGGGCACGAACCGGAUUAGAUACCCGGGUAGUCCUAGGUGUAAACGCUGUGGACUUGAUGUUGGAGGAGCUCCGAGCUUUUUCAGUGUCGAAGCGAAGGUGAUAAGUCCACUGCCUGGGAAGUACGGUCGCAAGGCUGAAACUUAAAGGAAUUGGCGGGGGAGCACCGCAACCUGAGGAUUGUGCGGUUUAAUUGGAUUCAACGCCGG